rnacentral:rRNA from 1 species
AUAUCAGUAAGCGGAGGAAAAGAAACUAACGAGGAUUCCCCCAGUAACGGCGAGUGAAGCGGGAACAGCCCAUGACGAAACCUAUUGGUAAUGUGUCGUGAAUGGUUUGAGCGCGCGAUUGUAGGAGCCGGGCAAGUUCCCUGGAAAGGGACGGCACAGAGGGUGAGACCCCCGUAGGCCGGCACAGACAAUCAAGUGGAGACAACCAAGCGAGUCGGAUUGUUUGGGAAUGCAAUCCCAAAAGGGUGGUACGCGCCAUCUAAGGCUAAACAAGGGCAAGAGACCGAUAGCGCACAAGUA